GAUGAACGCUGGCGGCGUGCCUAACACAUGCAAGUCGAGCGAAGCACUCUACCUGAUUUCUUCGGGAUGAAGGUUUAGUGACUGAGCGGGCGACGGGUGAAGGUAACGCGUGGGUAACCUGCCUCAUACAGGGGGAUAACAGCUAGAAAUGACUGCUAAUACCGCAUAAGACCACAGCACCGCAUGGUGCAGGGGUAAAAACUCCGGUGGUAUGAGAUGGAUCCGCGUCUGAUUAGCCAGUUGGCGGGGUAAAGGCCCACCAAAGCUAUGAUCAGUAGCCGAGCUGAGAGGCUGGCCGGCCACAUUGGGACUGAGACACGGGCCCAG
rnacentral:rRNA from 1 species